rnacentral:misc_RNA from 1 species
UUUCCGUAGGUGAACCUGCGGAAGGAUCAUUAUUGAAUGAAACACUUCUGGCUUUAUGCUGUUGUGCUGGCCCUUUGGGCAAUGUGCACACGGCUCUGGUCACUUGUUUCUUCUGUUCCACCUGUGCACUGCCUGUAGACACGCUGUGUCUAUGACAUUUGUUAACACACAACAAUGUUAGUUGGCAUGUUAUAUAUAAUAAUAAAAUAUACAACUUUCAACAACGGAUCUCUUGGCUCUCGCAUCGAUGAAGAACGCGC